GCACCUCAUAAAACGGGUGCCGGGAUUGGAACCCCGCUGAUCAACAAAGCGCACAACCGCGCCAGCGGUUUUUUU
rnacentral:sRNA from 16 species